GGAGAGGUGGCUGAGUGGUCCAAGGCGCUGCAACCCCCGCUGCAGUCUGCUUAGAGCAGUCGUGGGUUCGAAUCCCUCCCUCUCCC
rnacentral:tRNA from 1 species